CCUGGUCUAGUCCUCUACCUGUGUUCAGGUUGGGAAUUAACCUGGUCUAGUCCUCUACCUGUGUUCAGGUUGGGAAUUAACCUGGUCUAGUCCUCUACCUGUGUUCAGGUUGGGAAUUAACCUGGUCUAGUCCUCUACCUGUGUUCAGGUUGGGAAUUAACCUGGUCUAGUCCUCUACCUGUGUUCAGGUUGGGAAUUAACCUGGUCUAGUCCUCUACCUGUGUUCAGGUUGGGAAUUAACCUGGUCUAGUCCUCUACCUGUCUACAUGGUAAAGAUCUUGUGCUUGACAACAUUGCUUGAUUCAUUUGUGGUUCGACAUCAGUCUCUCUUGAUUGGAGGAGGCAGCAGCGAGCGGUUUUAGUCUGUAGCCCGGCGACUGACGGCAGGAGCGUUAGGGGAUAGUCCUGAUGGCGUCUUAUCGAUGGUGGGUUGGCGUGGUCGUUGGCGUGGUCGUUGUGCUGCUCCCCAAAUGGCACCCUAUUCCCUAUGAAGUACACUACUUUUAGACCAGAACCCUAUGGACCUUGGUCAAACACCCUGUACACUAUGUAGGGAGUAGGGCUCCAGUAGUGCACUAUGUAGGGUUCCAGUAGUGCACUAUGUAGGGAGUAGGGCUCCAGUAGUACACUAUGUAGGGAGUAGGGCUCCAGUAGUACACUAUGUAGGGAGUAGGGCUCCAGUAGUACACUAUGUAGGGAGUAGGGUUCCAGUAGUACACUAUGUAGGGAGUAGGGUUCCAGUAGUGCACUAUGUAGGGAGUAGCGUUCCAGUAGUGCACUAUGUAGGGAGUAGGGUUCCAGUAGUACACUAUGUAGGGAGUAGGGUUCCAGUAGUGCACUAUGUAGGAGUAGGGGUUCCAGUAGUGCACUAUGUAGGGAAUAGGGUUCCAGCUGAGAGGAAAACCUUGGAUAGUGAUGUUACAUUCCAUUAAACUGUCACUGUUCUGCUCCACUUUCUUCUUCUUCAGUUUCACUGACCUGCUAACGUCAUUUUGUAUUUCCGUGUCAAGUAGGAGGUUUGGGAAACGUCUAGAACAAAGAGGACUCCUAAUACUCAGACUGUUUUUAAACCAGCAGAGCAGGAAGAAUUUCCCCUCGUUGCUGCUUCAAGUUGCUGCUUCAAGUUGCUGCUUCAAGUUGCUGCUUCAAGUUGCUGCUUCUAGUCGCUGCUUCUAGUCGCUGCUUCUAGUCGCUGCUUCUAGUCGCUGCUUCUAGUCGCUGCUUCUAGUCGCUGCUUCUAGUCGCUGCUUCUAGUCGCUGCUUCUAGUCGCUGCUUCUAGUCGCUGCUUCUAGUCGCUGCUUCUAGUCGCUGCUUCUAGUCGCUGCUUCUUCUUUCCAUCCCCAGUUUUUAUUUUAAUUUUCCGGUUUUCUUUUGAUACUUGUGGUUCAGAACUCGUUAAUGGGGAGAAAAGGGAGGUUGUUGUUGGGCUGGUUGUCUUUGUCCAUGUCUUUUUGGAAAUGUUCAUACGAAACACCCAAAAGCAUAACUGUUAUCUGGAGGGAAAUGUUAUUUCAUGUAUGUGGAAUUAAAAAGAUAAUUUAAAAGUU